rnacentral:rRNA from 1 species
UACGUAGGGUGCGAGCGUUGUCCGGAAUUAUUGGGCGUAAAGAGCUCGUAGGCGGUUUGUCGCGUCUGCUGUGAAAACUCGGGGCUUAACCCUGGGCCUGCAGUGGGUACGGGCAGACUAGAGUGCGGUAGGGGAGACUGGAAUUCCUGGUGUAGCGGUGAAAUGCGCAGAUAUCAGGAGGAACACCGGUGGCGAAGGCGGUUCUCUGGGCCUUACCUGACGCUGAGGAGCGAAAGCGUGGGGAGCAAACAGG